rnacentral:rRNA from 1 species
GACGAACGCUGGCGGCGUGCUUAACACAUGCAAGUCGAACGGAAAGGCCCUGCUUUUGUGGGGUGCUCGAGUGGCGAACGGGUGAGUAACACGUGAGUAACCUGCCCUUGACUUUGGGAUAACUUCAGGAAACUGGGGCUAAUACCGGAUAGGAGCUCCUGCUGCAUGGUGGGGGUUGGAAAGUUUCGGCGGUUGGGGAUGGACUCGCGGCUUAUCAGCUUGUUGGUGGGGUAGUGGCUUACCAAGGCUUUGACGGGUAGCCGGCCUGAGAGGGUGACCGGCCACAUUGGGCCUGAGAUACGGCCCAGACUCCUACGGGAGGCAGCAGUGGGGAAUAUUGCACAAUGGGCGGAAGCCUGAUGCAGCAACGCCGCGUGCGGGAUGACGGCCUUCGGGUUGAAAACCGCUUUCGCCUGUGACGAAGCGUGAGUGACGGUAAUGGGUAAAGAAGCACCGGCUAACUACGUG